UCGAAAAACAAAGUGUCGGAAAAUGAAGAAAUAAUUAGGGUGUGGGAUUGUGGGAGCCCUUUAUAUGAUUCAUAUGAAGUAGUUGCUAUAAACAAUUUAAUUGAGAGGCACUUUAUGAAGCAGCCUUAUCUCAGUGGAUCAAGAAUCGACGACGAUCUUUCUCAUCAUGCUGACGUGUGGUCGGAAAAACGGGCGAAGAACGAGGCGGGCCCCACGUGUAAGAAUGCUCGGAAAUAUUCUUGCGUGCGCCGUUUCUUGAAUGGACUAGCUUUGUGGAAGAGGAAGAAGAUGAAUAGCAAUUGAAGAAGCAGAAAGCUGGUUUUUGCAAGAUUAAUUUCCCAUGUAGGGAUUAUUAAUUAAUUAAUCCUUGGAAGAUUAUGAGUUUGGUGUGUGUUUAAGGUAUAUUUACACACACAUAUAUAUCAUCUGAUUUAUACUAUUCCUAUGUUGUUUCUUUUUGUUUUGUUUUGUUUGAUUUUCUGAAUGGAUUAUAUUUGAUCAGAUGAAUCAUCAGUUGAUCUAUUUUCUUAUCAAUUACUUCUUGUUCUUGAAAAUUAUAUUAGUGAUUUUUUUAAUUCAUC
rnacentral:lncRNA from 1 species